UACGUAGGGUGCAAGCGUUAAUCGGAAUUACUGGGCGUAAAGCGUGCGCAGGCGGUGAUGUAAGACAGAUGUGAAAUCCCCGGGCUCAACCUGGGAACUGCAUUUGUGACUGCAUCGCUGGAGUGCGGCAGAGGGGGUGGAAUUCCGCGUGUAGCAGUGAAAUGCGUAGAUAUGCGGAGGAACACCGAUGGCGAAGGCAAUCCCCUGGGCCUGCACUGACGCUCAUGCACGAAAGCGUGGGGGGCAAACAGG
rnacentral:rRNA from 1 species